CUACGGGAGGCUGCAGUCGAGAAUCAUUCGCAAUGGGCGAAAGCCUGACGAUGCGACGCUGUGUGAGUGAUGAAGGCCCUCGGGUCGUAAAGCUCUUUCGCUUGGGAACAAGAGAAGCUGACUAAUAAUCGGCUAAUUUGAGGGUACCA
rnacentral:rRNA from 1 species